rnacentral:lncRNA from 1 species
UGAUGAUCAUCUCUGACAGUCAACAUGUACAAAACUCUCAUCAUCUACACAUUCUUUUGGCUCACAGGUCUCUGUCUCAGUGUUGAGGUUCACCAGACUCCCUCUGCAGUCUACAGCAGACCUGGAGAGAAUGUUCAACUCUUCUGCCAACAUCAGAAAACAGACUACACACUAAUGCUGUGGUACCAGAAACCACAAGGAGAAACAGCAUUGAAACUCAUUGGAUAUUUGAAUUUUAAUUCUCAAACCAUUGAGAGUUCAUAUGAAAAGCAUUUUAAUAUGAGUGGGGAUUUGGGUGGAGGUGGCCCAAAGAAUGCCUCUCUGAACAUGUUCAACUUGAAACGACCCCAACACAGUGCAGUGUAUUUCUGUGCUGCUAGUUAUGCACAGUGUUGCAGAUUCCCCUGUCUACACUACAAAAACCUUCUCUCAGUCACUGUCUCACUACAGCUGUCUGAUGCCACACUACAUUUUGUCAUUACGUCAUUGAUGAGGUCACUUCCUGUUCCUCCUCUCCAGUCAGUUCAGAUGAGAUGAGAUGUCAGGUGGUUGUCAGCUAACACUAAGGCCCCGUCUAGACUUGACAGUUCAUGCAGCUUUAGUGUUCUGAUCAUAGAGAUCUGAUCAUGGAAUUCCCAACACUUCAUGAAUCUACACAUACAUUUAAAUGUCCGUGUCCACAGUGUGUCUUGAUUUGAGAGAGAGAGAAGGGGAGAGAGAGAACGGGAGAGAGAGAGGGGGAGAGAGAGAGGGGGAGAGAGAGAAGGGGAGAGAGAGAAAGGGAGAGAGAGAGAAGGGGAGAGAGAGAGAAGGGGAGAGAGAGAGAAGGGGAGAGAGAGAAGGGGAGAGAGAGAGAAGGGGAGAGAGAGAUGGGGAGAGAGAGAAGUGGAGAGAGAGAAGGGGAGAGAGAGAAGUGGAGAGAGAGAAGUGGAGAGAGAGAAGUGGAGAGAGAGAGAAGGGGAGAGAGAGAAGGGGAGAGAGAGAGAAGGGGAAAGAGAGAGAAGGGGAGAGAGAGAUAGAGAGAGAGAAGGGGAGAGAGAGAAGUGGAGAGAGAGAAGUGGAGAGAGAGAAUCCAGGCUUGAAUCCAGGCUGUAUCACAACACGGCCGUGAUUGGAAGUCCCAUAGGGGCGGCGCACAAUUGACUCGGCAUCGUCCGGGUUUGGCUGGUGUAGGCCGUCAUUGUAAAAUGACUUGCCGAGUUAAAUAAAGAUGAAAUAAAAAUGAACAGUAAACUCCACCCUCUCACACAGACGUUAUUGGCAGUUACCUGACAGA